rnacentral:rRNA from 1 species
GAUGAACGCUAGCGGCAGGCUUAAUACAUGCAAGACGAACGGUAAGUGUUGUAGCAAUAUAGCACGAGAGUGUCGUACGGGUGCGUAACACGUAUGCAACCUACCUUGUACAGGAGGAUAGCUCGGGGGAAACUCGAAUUAACCCUCCAUAAUAUAUUUGAAUGGCAUCAUUUGAAUAUUAAAACCUUGGUGGUACAAGAUGGGCAUGCGUCUGAUUAGUUAGUUGGAGUGUAAUGGACUACCAAGACGAUGAUCAGUAGGGGACC